rnacentral:rRNA from 1 species
UAAUACGUAGGGUGCAACCCCGCGUUCGAAUCGGAAUUACUGGGCGUAAAGCGUGCGCAGGCGGUUCGGAAAGAAAGAUCGUGAAAUCCCAUAGCUUAACUUUGGAACUGCAUUUUUAACUACCGAGCUAGAGUGUGUCAGAAGGAGGUGGAAUUCCGCGUGUAGCAGUGAAAUGCGUAGAUAUGCGGAGGAACACCGAUGGCGAAGGCAGCCUCCUGGGAUAACACUGACGCUCAUGCACGAAAGCGUGGGGAGCAAACAGGAUUAGAUACCCUGGUAGUCCACGCCCUAAACGAUGUCAACUAGCUGUUGGGGCCUUCGGGCCUUGGUAGCGCAGCUAACGCGUGAAGUUGACCGCCUGGGGAGUACGGUCGCAAGAUUAAAACUCAAAGGAAUUGACGGGGACCCGCACAAGCGGUGGAUGAUGUGGAUUAAUUCUAUGCAACGCGAAAAACCUUACCUACCCUUGACAUGUCUGGAAUCCCGAAGAGAUUUGGGAGUGCUCGCAAGAGAACCGGAACACAGGUGCUGCAUGGCUGUCGUCAGCUCGUGUCGAUUGAGAUGUUGGGUUAAGUCCCGCAACGAGCGCA